CCUACGGGUGGCAGCAGUGGGGGAUAUUGCACAAUGGGGGAAACCCUGAUGCAGCGACGCCGCGUGGGUGAAGAAGUAUUUCGGUAUGUAAAGCUCUAUCAGCAGGGACGAAAGAAGACGGUACCUGACUAAGAAGCCCCGGCUAACUACGUGCCAGCAGCCGCGGUAAUACGUAGGGGGCAAGCGUUAUCCGGAAUCACUGGGUGUAAAGGGAGCGUAGACGGCCGUGCAAGCCAGGAGUGAAAGCCGGGGGCCCAACCCCGGGACUGCUUUGGGAACUGUGCGGCUGGAGUGCGGGAGGGGCAGGGGGAAUUCCUGGUGUAGCGGUGAAAUGCGUAGAUAUUAGGAGGAACACCGGCGGCGAAGGCGGCCUGCUGGACCGCGACUGACGUUGAGGCUCGAAAGCGUGGGGAGCGAACAGGAUUAGAUACCCGGGUAGUC
rnacentral:rRNA from 1 species